CAAUGAACUUAAGAUUCAUAUAUAAAUUUUUUUUUGUUAGAA
rnacentral:tRNA from 1 species